ensembl:lncRNA
GCAAGGGAAUUUCAAAUACUUACAAAAUCCCUAUGACCCAGACCAGUGUGGCCCAGCCCAGAGCUGUCUGGGAAAAACCGCCUGUGGAUGCCAUUGCAAGGAGAUGUGGAAGGGCCAUUGGACACCAACAGGAACUACCGUUGUAUGCAUUUGAAAAUAGCCUGAGACAAAGCAGCCAAAACUAUUUACUGCUUUUGUCUCCAUGUUAAAGGCAUGGAGUGGGAGGCUUGUAAUAUCUGAUUCAUGUGAUGCUUGCCUCAGAGGAGCCAAGAGUUGUUACCAAAACUGUGGCCUAGGCAGCAGAGGGAUAUUCUGGCAACCAACUACAAAGGCUCAUGUGGUUGAGCUAUUUAGACUUUGGAGCAGUGAGUUUUUCUUGAUUCCCAGUGUUUUAAUCCAAAUGUGCAGGUGUUUACAACAAUGACCUACAAAUCUCUACCAAAACGAAUGCAAUCCCUUCUGCUUUUGGGGAAAAGAGUAGUUUGGUAAUCUCCUACUGCAAUCUUCCUCUUUAUUUUAAGAGUAAUUGUCCUGACCUAGCAACUCUGAUGCCUUUUGUAUUUACCCAAGUUUUGCAUACUUGAAUGGUAAUGCAAACUCAGGCACAGAGAUAUAAACUAUGAAGCCUCUUGUAUUUUUUUUCAAACAUCACAUGUAAUCUUGCUGUCUGCUUCUGCUCUAAUUUAUGGGACUCCUUGUGUGAGAACAUGGCCUUGGAGAUUUUUGCUUCAGGUCUCUUCAGGUCUCAUUGUGUUCACAAUGGCAGAGCCCCUUUCAAGAUUCAGUCUGAGCUGGUGAAUUUUUUGCCUGUAAUAUUCCAGUUGCUUUGUAAAGGCUGACUUCAGGGACUUGCCAUAGACUGGCAAGCUGAGUAUUUGUCCUCAGUACCUAGAAAUUAUUUACAGGGUCCCCUCAUGUCUCAGCCACCAAACUGAGCCAAAAAAAUGUUGGAUUCAAGUAUGGAAGAACUCCUUUUCGAGGUUAUGUGAUAAAGCUCACAUCUCGACAGGCACGGAGAAUCCCAGGGACAUGAGACCAGUCAGGGAAAGGCACAUGGUCUCUCCCAAGGCUGUCUCAGCAGGGCCUCCAGACCCGUGUGUGGGGAUGACACCCAGCACUGAUGGUGGCUGGUCCCCAGAGCACUCUUCAGACUGCUGGAGACACUGCCUAGGGCUAUGGGACAUGUUACAGGAGGCAGGGGAAGAGUAUUUUGGGAUCAUUCAGUGUUUAUUAUCAGGGGUUUAGGGGAGGGAAAGAGAGGGAUAAAGGCAAGUUGAGGAGGAAGAAAUGUCUGGGAAAAUAGAAUUAGGGCUGGUUGUAGGUAAGCAGGCUGAUGGUCAUUGGCUUUUCUGGCCAUCUCCUGUCCCUGGCCAGCUCAUUAUGUCCUACCUUCUUAUUCACUCAAUUUCUAUCUUCCCUUGUGAGGGGGUUGCCUGCUGUGUUCCUGUGUGUUGGGAGGUCUGCAUGACAGUAGCUGGAGCUGGGCCAUGGUCUAGUGAACCACAUAACUAUGGUGCCAGCAGUCACCAUAGUAAAAGUGUACAGCGUUUAAUAGCUAGCAGAUAUCAAACUGGUCUUGCCAGUAAGUUGAAUAACUGUCUUGGAAGCCAGAUACCAGCCUUUUUUUUCCCCUUCAUCUUAUUUUAAAAGUAAUUUUCACAUGGAAUACAGCACUCAACUUGCUGCAGUAUAAUCUCAUAAUCAGCUCCUUAUUAAUAUAAAUCUGUUGAAAAUUUCAUUUGACAAACAGUGUUUUAAUAAAAAGCUGCCUUUGGAGUCUUUCUGACUCUUCCCUGUUUUGAAGGCACCUGCUGCUAGCAAAUUAAACAUGAAACCUUUCUUUGAUGCUUUUUCUGAUGUCUACACUGUUUUAGUGUUUCAACUGGCGUUGCAGCAUUUUGACUGCCUGUUUGGUCCUAGCGAUAGGUGUUGAUCAGCCAUCGGUUGAACCCUAAGUGAGACGCUGAUGCACACACAGCGACAAGCAUUGCUUAACUUCUGCACGAGACAAAAAGCAUUUCCAACUGCCUUGCACUAAAUCUUUUAAAGAAUGUAGCUCCUCAGAAAGUGCCUUUUCUUGCCUACUAGCUUUUCUUGGUGGAGCAGGUCCAGGAUAAAACACAUAAUUAAAACCUGUCAUGCUUCAAUCACUUCAGGGCAAAUAAUCCAGAUAAGUAUUUUGGUUUUACAAGUGGGCAAGUGGGUAAAUUUGGUAUUUCCUGUGACAUAAUCCAAAUUUAUGGCAGCAGACUUAUUUGUAUGCCAGAUCAUGUACAGGGUGCAGUCAGUUUGGUGCCACAGCUUUUCUUGAAGAUGAUUCAUAUCAGACUUAUAAACAUAACACAUUAUCACAUCAAACGAUGUCUAAUAUCUAUUCUUGGAAAUGAACAAGAGUGAUGAGAUAAGGACUGUAACAGAACAUUGCAGUUUGCUGGAAAUAAGUUCUUUCUUACUUUAGUGAAAAGCUGCAUUUCUUUAGGCCUCUCUCUAUAUAUAUAUAUAUACAUAUACAAAUCUCCAAAGAUCUCUCAGUAAAUUAUUCUCAUAUGGUUUCACAUUUAAUGUGAUUGUUUGAAGCAAUAUCCUGUGGUAUUGACCCGUCAUACCUGAAUGGAAAAACUAAGAAGAUUUAACUGCAGAAAACUUUUAUCUAAGAAAGGUACAUGAUAGGUGGGUCCCAUAACAGUCAUGUGUGGGAGUUAAAAUACAGACAGAUCUGACAAGAGAACUGUACCUUGUGGAGUUAAAAUCAAACCAAGCAUAACCUUGAUUCAAUAGAAUUUACUCAUUUCGAGGCAGACAUGGGUUAUGCAAAUUAUCCUGGCCAACAUAAUUUCUGAAACUAUCAUAGUCUAUCUAACUCGUGAUAAGGCAGCAUUGAAAGAGGGAAAUUGCUUUCAUUUAUUUUAACUAUUAGCUGAUGCACUGCUUUUCAUACAGGAGCUCAUCUUCACCAGAGUGUUCUCAACUUGUUAUAUGCACAGAACCUCUCUUGGAAGACCACUGUUAGCGUUUCAUUUGCUCUUCAGCACAUGAAGCAGUUUUUGUCACUCUACAGUGUGCAAUGUUUUGUGGAAGAACAAAUUACUAAUGCUGUCAUAUUUCUAUGUGAUUGGUCAUUGAGUGAUUCCAUAGGAAGGGCCCAAAUCCAGAUUAAGGUUAUCUGUAUUUUUUCCAUAUUUCCUAGUACUUAAAUUUGCCAUAUUUGUAAUAUUUUGAGGUGAUUGUGCCUAUGUGAACGUACCAGGAGGCACAGGGUUCCAGCAGAUAUCCUUUCUCAGGCUGCAUCCAAGACAACUCCAACUAUGUCCAAAUUACUUUUACGAUGCAAUAUACAGCUGUGUACAACUCACCUGUAAUGUCAAAAUAUAAGCCUGAGCAACUGACUCUUAUGAUUGAGAUAAAACUAUUACUGAGGUUGGUGCAAUAGCAAUUUAUUGAGCAAAUUAUAUGCUAAAUGUGCACCGCAGGUAUGAACACUUUACAAAACAGGAAGAGUCAAAAGCGGCUAAAAACUGUGUAUUGUUGGCUUGGUGAUUCAUUUUCAUGGAAAGGCUGAGAACUUGAUGAAGAUUGCACUUGGUGGUAUUUGUUCUAACCUUCUGCAAAUAAGAACCUGUCUUGCUAGAGUGGCAUCUUUAUUAUUUCCUGUUAUAUUAUCCCCAUCCAAAUUUCCCCAUCUUAACUUUUUUUCCUCUGCACCUCUGAGCCAUGCAACUAAAGUGGCAAUCAAGGAAGAAGUUGAAACUACUCUUCAGGUUUUCCACGCUAACAUGUUACUCAGAAUUUAUAAUAGAAAAUGAAUCCCAUCCCUGCAAAUUGUUACCUUUUUCCCCCCAGAAAUUUAAAAAACAUUACUGAAUCUUCUGUUUAGAUAGUGGAGGUCAUCCAUGGACAAGCAGGAAAAACUCCAGUGUAGAAUGCUGGCUCAGUCUCUGAUUCCUCCUUCAGAGCUGUCACAAAUUUUGUCUUAAUAAAGACUUCAUUGGUGUAAAAGCUUCAUCUGAGGACUUUAGUCCUAAAAUUAGAAGCAUCUUUUCUCAUAUAAAGGUAACAUGAUUAUUGAAGCACGCUUUGAUGACCAAAAUUCUCAAGACUGAAAUAAAAUUAAACAAAUUUGGUUUACUGCCCAGAGUAUAGCUAAGCAAUCAGAUUUCAAAUGAUUGGUCUCAACCUUUAUUCAGCAUAAAAAAUUGGGGGGAUUUAAAGGUUAACAGCUUUAAACUAAGACAUAAGUUUACACUAUCGGUCAUUACAGAUGAAUUGAAUAGAUGCAAAAGAUUUUGGUAUGUAAAGUUGUACUAAAUAUUGUAGUAUUUUUCUAAAGUUCAGGGUUAUGAGUGCAGGUUCCUAUAUUAUAUAGCUCAGAAAAGGCAGGAACAAUCAGGUUAAUCUGCUCAGUACUACAUCUUGAACAGUAUGCAGUGUAUUUCUGUAAAAAAAUAAUUUUCAGAAUAUGUUCUUAAACAUUUCUGUACCAUCAAUAUUUGAGACAUAAAAAAUAUUUUUAAUUAUUAAGAUAUUGUGACAGUGUUAUUAGAUUGGUCCUUGCUACAUCAGCUCUUUGGUUGUCUCUCUAGUAAGCAAGGAUGGAAAGCAGUCCAAAAAUAUGUAAAAGGACAAAUACAUUAAAAACAGACAAUACACUAUU